GUCCUUCGGGAGAAAGCAGGGGAUCUUCGGACCUUGCGCUAUUGGAUGUGCCUAUGUCGGAUUAGCUAGUUGGUGAGGUAAAGGCUCACCAAGGCGACGAUCCGUAGCUGGUCUGAGAGGAUGAUCAGCCACAUCGGGACUGAGACACGGCCCGAACUCCUACGGGAGGCAGCAGUGGGGAAUAUUGGACAAUGGGGGAAACCCUGAUCCAGCCAUGCCGCGUGUGUGAAGAAGGCUUUCGGGUUGUAAAGCACUUUCAGUGAGGAGGAAAAGUUAGUCCUUAAUACGGGCUAGCCUUGACGUUACUCACAGAAGAAGCACCGGCUAACUCCGUGCCAGCAGCCGCGGUAAUACGGAGGGUGCAAGCGUUAAUCGGAAUUACUGGGCGUAAA
rnacentral:rRNA from 1 species